GGGCGAAAGCCUGAUCCAGCCAUGCCGCGUGCAGGAUGAAGGCCUUCGGGUUGUAAACUGCUUUUGUACGGAACGAAACGGUUCUUUCUAAUAAAGAGGGCUAAUGACGGUACCGUAAGAAUAAGCACCGGCUAACUACGUGCCAGCAGCCGCGGUAAUACGUAGGGUGCAAGCGUUAAUCGGAAUUACUGGGCGUAAAGCGUGCGCAGGCGGUAAUGUAAGACAGUUGUGAAAUCCCCGGGCUCAACCUGGGAACUGCAUCUGUGACUGCAUUGCUGGAGUACGGUAGAGGGGGAUGGAAUUCCGCGUGUAGCAGUGAAAUGCGUAGAUAUGCGGAGGAACACCGAUGGCGAAGGCAAUCCCCUGGACCUGUACUGACGCUCAUGCACGAAAGCGUGGGGAGCAAACAGGAUUAGAUACCCUGGUAGUCCACGCCCUAAACGAUGUCAACUGGUUGUUGGGUCUUCACUGACUCAGUAACGAAGCUAACGCGUGAAGUUGACCG
rnacentral:rRNA from 1 species